GGAGAGAUGGCCGAAUAGUUAUGGUGUUAUUUUUAUGAGGGUUCAAAUCCCUCUCUCUCCU
rnacentral:tRNA from 1 species